rnacentral:rRNA from 1 species
CAUAGCCGCGGGAAUACGUAGGGUGCAAGCGUUAAUCGGAAUUACUGGGCGUAAAGCGUGCGCAGGCGGUUAUAUAAGACAGAUGUGAAAUCCCCGGGCUCAACCUGGGAACUGCAUUUGUGACUGUAUAGCUAGAGUACGGCAGAGGGGGAUGGAAUUCCGCGUGUAGCAGUGAAAUGCGUAGAUAUGCGGAGGAACACCGAUGGCGAAGGCAAUCCCCUGGGCCUGUACUGACGCUCAUGCACGAAAGCGUGGGGAGCAAACAGGAUUAGAUACCCGUGUAGUCCCUGUCUCUUAUACA